AACUGUAGUCCGGGUCGAUCUG
rnacentral:miRNA from 1 species